GACGAACGCUGGCGGCGUGCUUAACACAUGCAAGUCGAACGGAAAGGCCCUGCUUUUGUGGGGUGCUCGAGUGGCGAACGGGUGAGUAACACGUGAGUAACCUGCCCUUGACUUUGGGAUAACUUCAGGAAACUGGGGCUAAUACCGGAUAGGAGCUCCUGCUGCAUGGUGGGGGUUGGAAAGUUUCGGCGGUUGGGGAUGGACUGGCGGCUUAUCAGCUUGUUGGUGGGGUAGUGGCUUACCAAGGCUUUGACGGGUAGCCGGCCUGAGAGGGUGACCGGCCACAUGGGGACUGAGGUACGGCCCAGACUCCUACGGGAGGCAGCAGUGGGGAAUAUUGCACAAUGGGCGGAAGCCUGAGGCAGCAACGCCGCGUGCGGGAUGACGGCCUUCGGGUUGUAAACCGCUUUCGCCUGUGACGAAGCGUGAGUGACGGUAAUGGGUAAAGAAGCACCGGCUAACUACGUG
rnacentral:rRNA from 1 species